UUCCAGACUCCUACGGGAGGCAGCAGUGAGGAAUAUUGGUCAAUGGCCGAGAGGCUGAACCAGCCAAGUCGCGUGAGGGAAGAAUGUCCUAUGGAUUGUAAACCUCUUUUGUCAGGGAGCAAAGUCACCCACGUGUGGGUGUUGGAGAGUACCUGAAGAAAAAGCAUCGGCUAACUCCGUGCCAGCAGCCGCGGUAAUACGGAGGAUGCGAGCGUUAUCCGGAUUUAUUGGGUUUAAAGGGUGCGCAGGCGGAUUUUUAAGUCAGCGGUCAAAUCGUGGGGCUCAACCCCAUCCAGCCGUUGAAACUGGGGAUCUAGAGUGUGCGAGAGGUAUGCGGAAUGCGUGGUGUAGCGGUGAAAUGCAUAGAUAUCACGCAGAACCCCGAUUGCGAAGGCAGCAUACCGGUGCACAACUGACGCUCAGGCACGAAAGCGUGGGUAUCGAACAGGAUUAGAUACCCCUGUA
rnacentral:rRNA from 1 species